rnacentral:rRNA from 1 species
AUUGAACGCUGGCGGCAGGCCUAACACAUGCAAGUCGAGCGGAUGAAGAGAGCUUGCUCUCUGAUUCAGCGGCGGACGGGUGAGUAAUGCCUAGGAAUCUGCCUGGUAGUGGGGGACAACGUUUCGAAAGGAACGCUAAUACCGCAUACGUCCUACGGGAGAAAGCAGGGGACCUUCGGGCCUUGCGCUAUCAGAUGAGCCUAGGUCGGAUUAGCUAGUUGGUGAGGUAACGGCUCACCAGGGCGACGAUCCGUAACUGGUCUGAGAGGAUGAUCAGUCACACUGGAACUGAGACACGGUCCAGACUCCUACGGGAGGCAGCAGUGGGGAAUAUUGGACAAUGGGCGAAAGCCUGAUCCAGCCAUGCCGCGUGUGUGAAGAAGGUCUUCGGAUUGUAAAGCACUUUAAGUUGGGAGGAAGGGCAUUAACCUAAUACGUUAGUGUUUUGACGUUACCGACAGAAUAAGCACCGGCUAACUUCGUGCCAGCCGCCGCAGUAACAC